rnacentral:misc_RNA from 1 species
GAUGAAGAACGCAGCGAAAUGCGAUAAGUAGUGUGAAUUGCAGAAUUCAGUGAAUCAUCGAAUCUUUGAACGCACAUUGCGCCCCUUGGUAUUCCAUGGGGCAUGCCUGUUCGAGCGUCAUUUGUACCUUCAAGCUCUGCUUGGUGUUGGGUGUUUGUCUCGCCUCUGCGUGUAGACUCGCCUCAAAACAAUUGGCAGCCGGCGUAUUGAUUUCGGAGCGCAGUACAUCUCGCGCUUUGCACUCAUAACGACGACGUCCAAAAGUACAUUUUUACACUCUUGACCUCGGAUCAGGUAGGGAUACCCGCUGAACUUAAGCAUAUCAAUAAGCGGGAGGA